AGUACAAGUCGUAACAAGGUUUCCGUAGGUGAACCUGCGGAAGGAUCAUUAACAAAUCCAGUGGCCCUCUCCUCUUCACCGCGGGGAGCGGCCAUGUAUGUUCCGGUGCCGAGCGCUGUGGCGCGAGGCGCCGUGUUCAAUCAACGUGCUCUGCACGAGUAUGUAAGUCGGACCGAAACAACAUGGUGGGAACUCAACAAACAACUUUUAACAAUGGAUCUCUAGGCUCUU
rnacentral:misc_RNA from 1 species